rnacentral:lncRNA from 10 species
AAUUUUUCAGUGAAGGUUGUGCCCCUGGGUCUAAGAAAGACUCCAGUCUCUGUAAGCUGUGUAUGGGCUCAGGCCUAAACCUGUGUGAACCCAACAACAAAGAGGGAUACUACGGCUACACAGGCGCUUUCAGGUGUCUGGUUGAGAAGGGAGAUGUGGCCUUUGUGAAACACCAGACUGUCCCACAGAACACUGGGGGUAAGUGCACCUGCUCCUCUGUCCCCCUAGAUCACUAGAUCCUGGUCACUGGUAUUCACUUGUAUUCAGGGAUGCCUUUGUGGAAGUAUUAUGUACACUGUCAGACUUCAAAGCUCUGAUUCUCAGUCUGUCUGCUCAGUGAAGAGAGACAUGUUCACCUGAGUGCGCAGAAUGAUCAGGAUUAUGGGGCCCCCAAUGGCCCUAAAUCCUCCCCAACACACACUCCCACAGCUGCAAGCCUUGUGCUCCUUUCCCCUAAAUACUUCAGUGCCUAUUUCCUAAGAAUAAGACAAUCUCUUGCAUACCCACAGUAUGAUUACCAAGAUCAGGAUCUUUUACAUUAUGUGGAUUUAAUACUCGUCACGUCCACAGUCCACAUUUAAC